rnacentral:rRNA from 1 species
AGCGAACGCUGGCGGCAGGCUUAACACAUGCAAGUCGAGCGGGCAUCCUUGUGGUGUCAGCGGCAGACGGGUGAGUAACGCGUGGGAACGUGCCCUUCGGUUCGGAAUAACUCAGGGAAACUUGAGCUAAUACCGGAUACGCCCUUUUGGGGAAAGGUUUACUGCCGAAGGAUCGGCCCGCGUCUGAUUAGCUAGUUGGUGAGGUUACGGCUCACCAAGGCGACGAUCAGUAGCUGGUCUGAGAGGAUGAUCAGCCACACUGGGACUGAGACACGGCCCAGACUCCUACGGGAGGCAGCAGUGGGGAAUAUUGGACAAUGGGGGCAACCCUGAUCCAGCCAUGCCGCGUGAGUGAUAACAGCCUUAGGGUUGUAAAGCUCUUUUCUCCGGGACGAUAAUGACGGUACCGGAGGAAUAAGCCCCGGCUAACUUCGU